AGAAGAGAAUAAAAAUCAUCGAUACAUGUAUAUGUGUAGUGUAGCCGUGUAUAUAGCCUCCAAAUGGUAGCAAAGAAUGAAUUAAUAUCGCUUAGCGUCGUAAUGGUUGUUGUGAUGAUUUGUAUGUUGGAAAUGAGAGUUAAAUGUCCCGAAUUGAUAUAGUAAGCGUUGCGGACUGAUUUGGAGAACUUUGUGCAUUUAAUGCAAUCCUUAUAUAUGAGAACCAUUAACAUAUGAAUAUGUGUAGUGUGAAUGAAUGUGAGUCAUAGAUUAUGCCGAAUAUCGCAUUAUUAUCGCUUAAGCGCUUUCGUGUCGUCGUUACGAAUUUUAGUUUGGAAUUGAGCAUUUAAUGACUUAAGAUUGAUGUUGAGAUUGUACGGGCUGAUUUGAGGGUUAUUGUGCGUUGAUGUAAUUUGUAUAUUUUAUGAAAAUGGUAUCGUUAUAUUGUGAAUUGUGAUACAAAACAUGAAUUGAAAGUCGGAAGUGUGCCCAGUGGGCUGCUCACGGGUAGGGGCUGUUUUCGGCCAAAAAUUUGGAGAAAUUGUGGAUUGUUGGAAAAAUUAUGUGAAUUUUUUAGAAUGUUCUUGAAUGUUGUUAGUAUGGGUUUGGGUUAAUAAUCGAAUGUACGAACGAUAUUGUGGCUUGAAAGUAAGCCAUUGAAUUGAAUAAUUGGAAAGUUGUCGAAUGGUGUAAAAGAGAGCUACUAUUAUUAUUUUGCCUUUCGAAUUGAUUAUCGAUGUUGCUAGGUUGGUUAUUGUGGUUGUUGUUGUUGAUUUUGAGCGAGUUAAAUUCUCGGGAUGGCCUAUUUAUAGGGGAAAUGCUGCCGAAUUUUCUGUAGAAUUUAAUGUUAGUUGGAAUAAAUGGCUUAAGUGCCUAUGUUUAAUAUUGGAUAUUCGUUGGCAUAUUUGUAGACCUUGGGGAGCCCGAGGCGUAGAUUGGAAUUUACUUUAUAUUGGCCAUCUUGGAGUGCGUACGAGGUACAGACGCACAGUUUGGUGAUCUACCCAUUUAGGACACCCUAUUCUGCUGUUUGGAGUGCUCUUCUCAUUUCAGAGCACACAUUUUGGUAUAUAUUCGUUCGCCAUGUAUAUAUGUAUUUGUUCAGGGGCACGGCGGGGCCCUGUCCCGCCAUAUGAUUCGGUUUGUCUGUUUAGAGGUCUGUAGACGUAUUUGUGGGUGUGUGUGCCUACUUCUGUACGGAUGUGUUUGCAUGACUCUAUUCGUUAUGGCAGCCUCGUCGGCGUGCAUUUUGUAUAUGUUUGUGGCAGCCUUGUCGGCGUGCAUUUGUAUAUGCGUUUUGGGCCGUUGUGCCAUUUGACAGCCUUGUCGGCUUUUGACAUAUUUGAUAGCCUUGCCGGCUUUUUGAUAUAUGUGCAUAUGUUCGGCGAUGUAUAUUCCGCCGCCUCUUCUGAUUCUGAUAUAA